UACGGAGGAUCCAAGCGUUAUCCGGAAUCAUUGGGUUUAAAGGGUCCGUAGGUGGAUGAUUAAGUCAGGGGUGAAAGUCUGCAGCUCAACUGUAGAAUUGCCCUUGAUACUGGUUAUCUUGAAUCAUUGUGAAGUGGUUAGAAUAUGUAGUGUAGCGGUGAAAUGCAUAGAUAUUACAUAGAAUACCAAUUGCGAAGGCAGAUCACUAACAAUGUAUUGACACUGAUGGACGAAAGCGUGGGUAGCGAACGGG
rnacentral:rRNA from 1 species